rnacentral:lncRNA from 7 species
GGCAACGGGAGUAGUAUACAUCGAGAGCUUAGAUUUAGUCCGAAAGGGAACAUCAUUUCAAGCAGGGAUCUUCUACGGCGCGGCACUAACCAUAUGGACCCAAUGACGAAUCCAGGAACGAGGCUGCCUGCACCCCUGAUCCAGCAGACCCAAUUAGUACCGUAUGCUAAUUGGAUCUCAAGGGUAUCCAUGGGAAAGAAAUCUUCUUUCAAUUCAAUUUUGAAUAACGAGAGGAUUCCUCCCCAGGAUCCCCUCGGGAUGUCUGAUCACUAAAUCAGCCCUCACGGUUAUGAGAUGCAUGCGCACGCAUAACAGCAGCAGGCCGCAGGUCUAAUAGGCCAUCACCCAUGACGACCCCUUUUAUUUGAAUUGUGGCCAUCUCCGGCCUCUCUAAUCCAUAAUUCAGUCCCCUUCGAUCUGUUUCUGCAUUUGAAGCACGCCCAAAUAAAGAGCAGACUCGUUUGGCAUGGAGCUGGCGGAGGCUGCUUGCUUUGUUGUGGUGGUUUUGUUUUGGGUUCUUCAGAACUUAUGUAAGUUAGGUCAUAACUCUCACACGCCUUUCUG